UGUCGUUUUUGACUUUAUCAGCUGUAGAUCUUGUAAACUAGGUCAUUUCCUCUCACAGGGGAACUUAAAACCCUAGUUUUGCGUUUUUAAUUCAAAAGCCUAGGGUUUGUUUUUUUAAAACCCAAAACCCUAGUUUUCUACAUGUGUAUAAUAUUGUGUACCGUUUAAAUACAAUUCUGUCCCUUUAAAUUGCACUUCACCUGAUUUUUAAUCUUUCGAAAAUCCUAGUUCUAUUUUAAUAAAAAUUAAGUUAUUUUCCGUCUGCGUUCAAAAAAUUGAGUCCUCAGCAUGAAUAUAGUAGCAGGCUCCUAUGAAAGAUUUAUACUGGGAUGGAGUCUGGAUGAAGAGAGCAACAGAAAAAAGAAAAAAAACAAUGAGGAACAAGGACAAGAAAAUAUGGGUUAUACCCUCAACCCCAUUUUCACCUAUCCUGCACACAUGGGUCCCAUCAAAACCCUAGCCAUGGCAGGAUCUGUGCUGGUAACAGGUGGCUUGGAUGACACCAUCAAGAUAUUUGACAUGGCUCACUACCUUGAAGUGGGUUCUCUCCUCCAGCACAGUGCUGCAAUAACUAGCCUCUGUUUUUAUGGAGAUGAAUGCUAUGGUAACAAUUGUAGCAGCAGCUCUUAUCCUAGGAAUUUGUUGAGUGGAUCCUUGGAUGGCACAAUUUGUAUUUGGGAUUCAGAUUUGUGGGUCCACUUGAAAACCAUGAAGGCCCACAAGAAGGGUGUCAAUGAUCUGGCCAUACACCCUUCUGGGAGACUCGCUCUCUCUGUUGGCAGGGAUUGUCAUUUGAGCAUGUUUAAUCUAAUUAAGGGGAGAUGCACUUUUACUUCAAAUUUGCAAAAGGAGGCCACUGUUAUUGAGUUCAAUUCGAUGGUUGGAGAUAGUUAUUCUGUAGCUAUCGAAGAUGUGGUGUCUGUUCACAAUGCUGAAGAUGCAAGGUUGCUUCAUUCUCUGCAGCACGGGAAGAGAGUAAAUUGCGUUUCCCCAUUCACGAAUGGAUUGAUAUUGACUGGUGGAGAUGAGUCUAUGAUUCGGGCAUGGGAUUUAGCAUCUGGAAAGAUAACAUUUUCUAUAGAGAACGCACACAAAAGUCGUAUCAAAGGCCUUGCUGUACUUGGACCAAAAACCAGUACUGAAUCAGAUGAAACUCCUUAUCUUGUUGCAUCAGCAUCAUCAGAUGGAUUUGUGAGGAUUUGGGAUACCAGAAUGGUGGGUACAGAGAAUCCAACCCCUGUUUUCGAGAUUGACUCAAAAGCAAGGAUAAUUUGUCUUGCUGCAUCUACCAAAAAUACCAUAAAGAGGCACAAGUCCUCACUGGAUGAUAAAGAUACAAAGAGUAAAAGUGAAAAGUCUAAUCCUAAAGGAAGUUCACGUCCUGCAAUUACAAAGAAGAAAAAAUUCAAAAAACGUCUUGGAAUGGAAGGGGAAAAGGACAUGAAGAAGAAGGAUAUCUAGAAGUCUCUAGCAAACUAGCAAUGGCGCUUUCCCAAGAUGGCUGACUUUACCUGAAUUGACUUACCUGAAUUGAUCUGGGUUUCAAGUUGAAGGAGCCUCUGGUGAGAACAAGAGGUCAAGGAACAGGAAGAGAAGGCAAUGCAAAGUAGUCAUGUCUGGAUAGGCAGCUGGCUGAUAUAAGGGACUUUCAUAUUGUGACGCGUUACUGGGAAGAAUUGGUAAUGGCAGGUUGGAACCGUAUCUCCUUUUGUUUGUAGUAGAUGGCUCUGGAGGGUUCCUAUUCUAAACCACUUUCAAGUAUGCAAAUAAUCUACUAUAGGUGUUCACGUCUUAUUGGCUUUCUACAGCUGAAAUUCCUUGCAUGCGUUUGGAGAUAUACACUACAAUAGAGUUUGAGAAUGUGUCAAUGAUACAUCAUGCCUAAUUUGCAUGUUUUUCAUUGAACAAUUUAGAAUCUAGAUAACUGUGGCCAUCUAAUUAUGAUGGCAUAGUUUAACUUGUGUUUUAUUGACAUUUCUGAAUAUCUUUAUCGUUGAGCUAUUUGACAAUCUUAUAUUUCAAGGCCACUGUGGGUUUUUAUUUAAUCUUGUCUCCCUAAAACAAAGGCAGUGUACCAUGUAUUUUUGAGAGUAUUUAGCCAAUAGGUUAUAUUUGGUGGGAAGUCCCACCGGAAACGUCAUGUCUCACGCUUGAAAAAGAAAAGCGUUUAAAACUCAUUGGGAAUAAAAAACGUUUUGAUA